UCGUGGGCUCGGCGUCGUCCCCUCGGCUCAUGCCCCCACAGCAGGUCGCAACUCCCCGACCCCACGGCGCUGCAGACGCCACCACCCCAACACCGCCUGCUCCCAGGCCGCCGGUGACGCGCUACCCGUGCGCCGCAGCACCGCCCCGUAACGUCAUGACGCCUGCGCCGCCGCCGUCGACGCGGUCGCACGAAUCUUUUCCCAGUAACCUGGGCGUUAGCUGUGGAUGUUCACAAGGAUUGUCUUCAGUCAUGGCCUUGGGUUUAAGGUGCUUCCGCUUGGUCCACCCUGCCUUUUGCAACUCCCUUGCUGCCUUGACCAGACCUAUUUCAGAAGUUACGCUGAGGGCAGAGAGUGGGAGACAGAAUGGCCGUGGGCAGUACAUGGCCUAUCCAGCUGUACCAGUCCGUCAUUUUGCUACCAAGAAAGCCAAAGCCAAAGGGAAAGCACAGUCACAAACCAGAGUGAAUCUUAACACUGCCUUGGUUGAAGACAUAAUCAGCUUGGAAGAGGUAGAUGAAGAAAUGAAGUCUGUGAUGGAAGCACUAAAGGAUAAUUUCAAUAAGACUGUCAAUAUAAGGACCUCACCAGGAUCAUUUGAUCAUAUCACUGUGGUAACUGCUGAUGGGAAGCUUGCUUUAAACCAGAUUGGCCAGAUCUCCAUGAAGUCACCACAGCUGAUACUGGUGAAUAUGGCCAGCUUCCCAGAGUGUACAGCUGCAGCUAUCAAGGCUAUAAGAGAAAGUGGAAUGAAUCUGAACCCAGAAGUGGAAGGGACACUAAUUCGGGUACCCAUUCCCAAAGUAACCAGGGAGCACAGGGAAAUGCUGGUGAAACUGGCCAAACAGAACACCAACAAGGCCAAAGAGACCUUACGGAAGGUUCGUACCAACGCAAUGAAUAAGCUGAAGAAAUCAAAGGAUACGGCCUCAGAGGACACCAUUCGGCUCAUAGAAAAACAGCCUUGAUUUUUGAAUAUGGACAGGAGUGGACUAUUGGAUGACCCUCACUCAGCCUGCCUGGAAUGAGGAAAGACGAGGCCAGGUGCUGUGGACUCCUGAAGGGGCGUGGAGGCACCAAACUGGCAGUCAGAUCAGUCAAAUGGCCGACGAUACAGCUGCAGAGCUGGACAGGCACUUGGCAGUGAAGACCAAAGAACUCCUUGGGUGAGAGGCCCCCAGGCCAGCGGAACUCCAGAGCCAGCUUCUGGUGGACCCUGUGGGUGGCAGAUUGGCAGCUCUCCCCCCUGUCCACAUGGAAGACUGGCAUGGUGCAGUUGUCAGUCCUUGUGAGGCCCAGCCAUCCAGUGAGACACCAGAAUUGCUCAUUCUCUUUCUCCUGUCCCCUGGUCACCCCAUUCUGCUCUGCCACAGGUGGCCCUCAGAGAGCAUCUAUUGUUAACUGAGGGCCUUUACUUGGGUCAGUUGCCCUGACUGUGACGUUGCUAAGUAACCAGAACGAUCAGCAGGCUUAGCACUGCCUACAUCUCAUCUCGGGAGCUUUCUUUUCAAUCCACCCUGUCUCCAACUUUGAACUGUUUAGCAUGAUGUAGGCCUUCACCUGUGGCUGGUUACCUUUACUAGAGGCCCGAACAGUAAAACUUAAAUAAAGUGGAAAGAAAACAAGCACAAAGGAA